GCAGCCGCGGUAAUACGUAGGUGACAAGCGUUGUCCGGAUUUACUGGGUGUAAAGGGCGUGUAGGCGGGAUAUCAAGUCAGUCGUGAAAUACCGGGGCUCAACUCCGGGGCUGCGAUUGAAACUGAUAUUCUUGAGUGUCGGAGAGGAAAGCGGAAUUCCUAGUGUAGCGGUGAAAUGCGUAGAUAUUAGGAGGAACACCAGUGGCGAAGGCGGCUUUCUGGACGAUAACUGACGCUGAGGCGCGAAAGUGUGGGGAGCAAACAGGAUUAGAUACCCC
rnacentral:rRNA from 1 species